ACGCUUUCCAACGUGAAAUACAUGAAGACCUUCGGUUUCAGGAGCUUCCUGCCAUUCCUUGCUACGUGGAACGUUGUGACAACCGGAACAAAGCUUCUUAUGAAAUGGAAUAGCUGUUCCUGCUUUCAACAUUUGUACCUGGUAAGAAGAGGGAGAGACGAAGCGAAACGAGAUAACAGCAUUAAUUCCGUCCCCAUCAUGGUCCACGGUCAAAGGAAGCUUCGUUGAUUAAACGACCCUCGCACGUCGUAUACACGUAUUAUAGAACAUAUAUAUGUAUAUGUAUAUGUAUAUACCUAGACAUAUACGUAUACACGUAUACGUAGAUAUACAUCACAUUCAUAUAUUGAUAGUAAAGCAACAUUCUAACGCAUACCUAAUACACUCGACUGAACGUAUGUAUCAACAUGACUUAUAUACGUGUAUACUCACUCAUUCACUUACUCUCUCUCUCUCUCUCUCUCUCUCUCUCUCUCUCUCUCUUUUUCUCUGUGCCUCACACACACUUUCAUGAAUUUAAUUGCCAUCAAGUUCACUCGGUCGACCAUCACACGGCACACGAUAUCGCAGCUCGUUAUUACGGCUAAUAAAAAUGCGCCUUUCGUCGAAAGCUUACCAAAUGAGUUUUAUUGUUCGGUGGUCGAUACUUUUCGUUAACUUCGAAUAUGGACAAGACGUAAACCUUCGGAUUAGAUUUUUGCAAUGCCGGUUGAUCUCUCCUACGGAUCAUUUCAAGAAACUUUUCCGGAAGAUUUGGACUCGGAUAUAAUUCUAUGUCACUUGCAAAAACAUAAUAUGUCGGUGCUGAUUCCCUUGCUAUAUUUCUUCCAACGUUAACGGGAUAAAGAAGUUUCUUUUCGUUUUUGUACAUCUUCGAAAGCGUUAUAUUUACCCAGGGUGGUCCCAACGUACAAUUGUACGUAUCGGACAUAACUUUUUCCGAUGGUGGAACCUAAAGUAUUUAAAAAAAAAAAAAAAAAUAAAAAAAAAGAAAAAAGGAAAAGAAAUACUCGAUCAUUAAAACGAUCAUUAGAAUUAAU